CCUCCUUUCACCCUCCACUCCCUCUCCCUCCCCCCUCUCUCUGUGCCCCUAACUCUUCUUACUCUUCCCAUCAAAUGCCUCAUGUCCCUCUCUGAAUCCCCACCUACCCUUUUGGCCAAACUCCGUCUCUUCACAACUGGAGGGCUACGUCGCACUGUCCCUGUGAACUGGAACAACCCAUCCCCUGUUCCAGAGGGGAAUAGAGAGCAAUAAAAGGGCCAUUUUGGUCCAGAAGGAAAGAGAAAAAAGAAAGCCUCCAGCCCCCACAAGAAGCAGGGCACUUGCGUACAGGGCUUGUCCACUCCUCUGAUUGGGAUGGGAACACAGAAAGGCAACUGAUCUGUGCUGAGUGGAGAAGUGUGGGAUGCUUUUCUGGCCCUUUGUUUAUUGUGGAUUACUCUGUUUUAAGUCUGUUUUUAUUUUUUUUAUUCAAUUCCUUAGGGGAGGAUAGUGGCCUUGGCAAUCAGACCCCUCUCCCCACCUUAUUCCCCAUCAUUCUCUCUCAGGAAUCUCCUUUCCCAGAGCCCAUGAAUCAGGGCUCCCUCCCACUCCCAUCACCACCGCCAUCCUCCCCAUCAUCCUCCCCCCUGCUUCUCCUGUUCCUAGUCAACCUUUGAAACUUACUAGUCUGGGCUUAUCCCUUGUUUGAUUCCAGGAGCUUUGGGUGCAGGAGCUGAGCUGUUUUCUGGCUGAUUCCUUCAUUUUCUGUGGUUAGAUUUCCUGGUCUGUGCUUCAGGUCAUUGUUCUACAGUUCAAAAUUGGAUCUUUCUGGGUUUUGAUCCAUCCCUUGCUGCAUUCCUGUAGGUAGUGAGUGGGAGAUGGGCUUUUGUUGCACUUUUCCUCCUAGUUUGUGGCUCAGGUCCUUGUUUCAUGGCUCAAAAUUGGAUCUUGCUGGGGUUUCUGAGUGCUUUUUGUGAUCUGGGGCUUGCUUAGGAAGCCGAGGAUUGUGUGGAGUGAGGAGGAGAUUUAGAGAAAAAAUAUCUCCUUUUUUUUUAUGUCUUGAAUUUCUUUCCUUUAGGUGCGUUUUAUUUGGUUCCUGCCCCAUCUGAGAUUUGAUGGUUAAAAGAAGCAUUUUUAGGUGCUUUGUUUAUGUGCCCUUGUGGCAACUAGGGAUCUCUCCAUUUUUUCUCUUUUAGCCUCGGAUAGUAUGUUAUGGUUCUUGUAUAAGCUAAAUAAGGCUAUUUGAAAAGGCUCAAUAGGAAAAAUUUUCCUUUUCCUUGCAUUGAAGGCAACAGUACUUCCCACCUUUCUGUUUCUCCACACCCCAAGCCAUAAAAUAGCUUUUCCCUCUAUUUUGAUUCCCAGUAUUAGAUCAGAUAAGUAUUAGAUGAGUCCUCUGCAUGCAUUUGGGCUUGGUUUUGGUGUUAUGUUGGUGGCUAUUCUCUGAGAUCCCCAUGACUUGGUUCAUUUAUGCUGAUAUAAUGGAGCGGAAGGCUGGUUUCCUUGGUGAUAAGAGCAAGCUCUGGUUGGGAGACAAAUUCUCGCCGCGAGGCUGGAAGAGUCACCUUUAUAACCACUAUUUUGGGUCGAAGAAGGUCCGAGAAACAUGGUGGAGGAAGCUUCUGAUUUUGUGGGUGGUUAGUUGGUUCUUAGUGUCUCUGUGGAUCUUCUGGUUGAUGAACUCCCAGGCUGUCGAGAAGAGGAGGGAGAUGCUUGCUAGCAUGUGCGAUGAGCGUGCUCGGAUGCUUCAGGAUCAGUUCAAUGUGAGCAUGAAUCAUCUUCAGGCGCUGGCAAUCCUCGUAUCGACCUUUCAUCAUUCCAAGGAGCCAUCUGCCAUUGAUCAGAUGACUUUUGCAAGAUAUGCAGAAAGAACUGCAUUUGAGAGGCCGCUGACGAGCGGUGUGGCUUAUGCUGUGAAGGUGCUGCAUUCUGAAAGAGAAGAGUUUGAGAGGCAACAAGGAUGGACUAUCAAGAGAAUGGACUCCACAGAGCAAUCCCCAGCUCGUAAUGAUGACUCGUUCCCUGAGACCCAGGAUAUAUCACCAGUGCAAGAAGAAUAUGCUCCUGUCAUCUUUGCCCAAGAUGCCUAUAAGCAUGUGAUAUCUGUGGAUAUGUUAUCUGGAAAGGAGGAUCGUGAAAACGUUCUACGAGCUAGGGAAUCUGGGAAGGGGGUCCUAACUGCGCCUUUUCAGCUGCUAAAAUCAAAACGCCUUGGGGUUAUUCUGACGUAUGCAGUGUACAAAAGAGAAAUUCCUUCAAAUGCAACGCCUGCGGAAUAUAUCGAAGCUGCCAUAGGGUACCUAGGAGGAAUCUUUGAUAUUGAAGCGCUGGUACAUAAAUUACUCCACCAACUUGCUUGUAAGCAAACCAUUAUUGUCAAUGUGUAUGAUACCACCAAUCCUGAUGAACCAAUCAGAAUGUAUGGUCCAAACAUGACCGGUAAUGGUAUUUACCAUAACAGCACCCUUCACUUUGGUGAUCCGUUAAGAAAGCAUGAGAUGCAUUGCAGGUUUAAAAACAAGCCACCAUUGCCAUGGCUUGCCAUAACAACAUCAAUCGGAGCUCUUGUGAUUGCCUUACUAAUUGGAUAUAUUUUUCAUGCUACUGUCAACCGCAUUGCCAAAGUGGAAGAUGAUUACCGGGAGAUGAUGGAACUCAAAAAACGUGCAGAAGCAGCUGACGUUGCGAAAUCUCAGUUCUUGGCAACUGUAUCUCAUGAAAUCAGAACUCCGAUGAAUGGAGUUUUAGGGAUGCUGCAAAUGCUUAUGGAUACUGAUCUGGAUAUCACACAACAAGAUUAUGUGAGAACAGCCCAAGAAAGUGGAAAAGCUCUCGUAUCACUUAUUAAUGAGGUUCUGGAUCAAGCAAAGAUUGAAUCCGGCAAGCUUGAGCUUGAGGCUGUCAGAUUUGACUUGCGAGCAGUUCUGGAUGAUGUCUUGUCACUUUUCUAUGGAAAGUCCCAGGAAAAAGGAAUAGAGUUGGCAGUUUAUGUUUCUGAUCAAGUUCCCGAAAUUCUUGUCGGUGAUUCUGGAAGAAUACGGCAAAUCAUCACAAAUCUCAUGGGAAAUUCCAUAAAAUUCACAGAGAAAGGGCAUAUUUAUGUGACUGUUCAUCUUGUCGAAGAGGUGAUGAAUUCAUUGGAAGUGGAAACAGAAGCUCAGCCGGCAAAUACCUUGAGUGGGUUUCCUGUAGCAGAUAGAAGACGUAGCUGGGAGAGCUUUAAGAUAUUCAAGCAGGAUUUGCCAAUGACUGAGCUGUCUUUUGCGUCGACCUCUUCUGAUCUUAUUAACCUAAUCAUAUCUGUUGAAGAUACAGGGGUGGGAAUCCCUCGAGAAGCCCAGUCUCGGGUGUUCACCCCUUUUAUGCAGGUAGGUCCAUCAAUUUCACGCAUUCAUGGGGGCACUGGCAUUGGACUUAGCAUCAGUAAAUGUUUGGUUAGUCUCAUGAAGGGAGAGAUUGGAUUUGUGAGUGAACCUCAGAUUGGUUCCACUUUCACCUUUACUGCUACCCUUACGAGAGCAUGCAGCAAUUCAAAUGAGGACAAGUUGUCCGAGUUUCAAGGGAUGACUGCAUUAAUGGUCGACCACAGACCGGCCCGUGCAAAGGUCGCGAGGUACCAUCUCCGAAGGCUUGGUAUUCAUGCUGAACUAGCCAGUGACGUAAACCAAGUUCUCCCCAAAAUGACUAAUGGAACAUUGAUGGUAAACAUGGUUCUUGUUGACAAGGAAACAUGGUUGCAGGAUGCUAAUCUCUGGCCUCUUUUUAUUAGCAAAUUAACGAAGGAUGACCAGACAAAUAUUCCAAAACUUUUUCUAUUAGCAAAUCCUAGCAGUUCUCCCAAAAACAGUCCCACUAGCUCUGCAGAAUAUUUUUCAACUACGAUCAUGAAGCCACUCAGAGCAAGCAUGUUACAAGUAUCUCUGCACCGAGCUAUGGGUGGUGGAGACAGGGACAAUUGCCCAAAUGGCGGACUUCCUCGAUUGUCAUUGCGCAAUCUUCUUCAUGGGAAGAAUAUUCUGGUUGUGGAUGACAAUAUCGUGAAUCUAAGAGUAGCUGCCGGUGCUUUGAAGAAGUAUGGAGCUGAUGUAACUUGUGCAGAGAGUGGGAAGAAGGCAAUAACAAUGCUCAAGCCACCACACAAAUUUGAUGCUUGUUUCAUGGAUAUUCAGAUGCCAGAAAUGGAUGGAUUUGAAGCUACUAAAAGGAUACGAGAGAUGGAAAAUGAUAUUAAUGAUCGGAUAAAACAUGGGGAAGUGCCACUAGAAACUUAUGGCAAUAUCUUGCAUUGGCACACUCCCAUAUUGGCCAUGACAGCAGAUGUGAUCCAGGCAACGCAGGAGGAGUGCCUAAGGUUCGGAAUGGAUGGCUAUGUAUCAAAGCCAUUUGAAGGAGAACAGCUGUACAGAGAAGUAGCUCGCUUUUUCAAAACCACCAUGAAAAAGACUCAAUAGGGAGAACUAAAAUAUGUACAACAGCAGAGGACAUUGGCCUGAAGGUUCAUUAGUUGCAGCAUGUGCAUCUGAUAAAACGGAGUUAUUUUGAAGAAGAUGAAAUUUGGAGAUGGAACAAGUAUUUUGUGUUCCUCAUCUCAUUGAGAAUAUCCAACAUAUGGUACAAUUUAUGCACAAAGAGCUACAUAAUCACCAAUGCAAUUUGCAGUCUCAGCACUGUAUAAAGGAGAAACACCUUGUACUUGUCCUUGAUUGCGGCGCCAAUAUCCUCUAUCCUGUAAAAUAAAAUGGAUCUUGAAAUAUUUCUUCGCCGUCCAGAAAUAUGGAGUGUACAGAGAUGAGCAGUUGGUUCAGAUUUUUGUUUAUUUCUUGAGUAUGUGAUAAUGCAUGUAUUCUUCAGUAAAGAAGAAAUUCAUAGAUGUAAAUUACAGUCAAAUAAAGGUUGAUGCAUUAAGUGGCAAAAUCAAUCCUUUAGAGUCUUUUGAUAUAUAAAUGACUUUAGUCUUCUUGUCUCCAAA